rnacentral:lncRNA from 1 species
CUUUUUCUGAACAUGCCAAAUCAAUCAUGACUCUAAGAAGUGGGAAGGUCAUUGAACACACUAGUAAAACCAAUGAGACCGACCCUAAACCUCUAACCGAAACCAAAUCACCCAAGAACAAGGAGGACCUUAAAAUAGAGAAUGAACCAACUGCACUGGAAUCAUCUUAUUUGCCUAAAGUCCCAUUUCUAGAUGCCCUGAAAGCCCCUAUUCCUACAGAUAAGAAGGGAGGA